AUUGAACGCUGGCGGCAGGCCUAACACAUGCAAGUCGAGCGAGUGGCGGACGGGUUAGUAAUAUUUCGGAACGUGCCCAGUAGCGGGGGAUAACUUCUCGAAAGAGUUGCUAAUACCCCAUACUCUUCGACCGUCCCAUAUCGGAUUAGCUAGGUGGUGGGGUAAAGGCCCACCAAGGCAACGAACCGUAGCUGGUUUGAGAGGACGACCAGCCACACUGGGACUGAGACACGGCCCAGACUCCUACGGGAGGCAGCAGUGGGGAAUUUUGGACAAUGGGGGAAACCCUGAUCCAGCCAUCCCGCGUGUAUGAGAAGGCCUUCGGGUUGUAAAGUACUUUUGGCAGAGAAGCGGUAUCUGCAGAAUAAGCACCGGCUAACUACGUGCCAGCAGCCGCGGUAAUUC
rnacentral:rRNA from 1 species